rnacentral:lncRNA from 1 species
GAAAUGUUGAGCCGCCAGAAUGUAGGUCUUGCACCUCAGUCAGCUGACUCAUAAAGUUCCCUAAUUUGUCCCUAAAGGUGAUAGAAACCUGCCUCUGAUUGUCCUGUUUUUUCAGCAUUCCAACCACAAUCACCACCAAAUUCCACCACAUGUGGAAUGGCAGCAAAAAGGCUGUCGUUGAUCGCCGCUGAUUGUUUCCAUUCAAGUUAAUGUGUCAAAUUCCACCGGUUUCUUUCCAGCCCCCUGCGGUUCAGUGGGCUCGAUCGCCAGAGUUCUGUUUUUUCCGGACGCCGCAACAUGCCACAUCAAUUCAGCACAGAUUAGCCCAUGCUGGAAAGGAAGUCGGACACAGACACAAAAUUAAACAUCCAACAUGACGUGUUUCAGGCGGAUCGUAUUUCACACCAUGCAAACGUGGGUAUGGACGAACAAGUGAAAGGUUUUCAGACGUCAUUUCACCCUGUUGGCAAUAUGGAUGAUGAGAUGCUAAUUCUGGAAGUCCAAAAUCACGUAAUAAUCGAUGACCUGUCUCAUCCCUUAUAUAAGUACAAUCAUAAAAAGAAUAUGACAUGGGAUUCCAUAGCCAAUUGAUAUCGCGCAAUUGCAUGUGAAUUUGCAGAUUCUUGUGAGUCCUCAUGAUUCCCACUGUCUGAAAUUUGCCAUGAAAUUUGCCUCAUAAACGUAUCUGGUAGGAUUUGGCAGACAGUGAAAAUCGCUGCCAUUCUGCAUUCAGUGGAGUUUGUGGGUAAGGGUGCACAGGGUGGACUUAUGGUGCGUUUCAGUUACCAGAAGUCAGAAGUCGGAGCUGAAAAUGUCAUCACACCCUAGUGCCCAGCGUUUCAGAUACCAAGUUGGAAAAAAGCAAAAUCGGAGGCAGAAACAAGAUAGAUACAUCUACGAAAGUUAUUUAAGUGCUUGCCUUUGUUCAAAUAUAAGGCAAGCACUUCAGGCCUCCGAUUUUUCUUUUUUCCGACUUGGUAACUGACCUCUGAGGUAACUCAAACGCAGCAUUAGUGUCUUAUCCUCAUACAGUUUGUCUUGUUAGUAGCAGGUGCAGGGAAUCCAACUUGGGUCUUCGCACCAAAACCUCACUAACUCUCAUGCACACCUUCCUUCCCUCCACGAUAACACGAGCGUUGAAUCAGUCCUGCCGAUGAGACCAUCAUUUCCUGAAAGUUGCCCAAAACUGUUCACGAGUCUCCGGAUAAUCUUUUCCUGGAAAAACUGUCUGAUGUUCUUUAAUUUGUCUCAUUUUUAUCUGGUUCAAAGCACAGACUUUCAAAAUCAGGGCGAAUAAUCCCCAAACUCUCCGUGCGCAGGGCGGGAUGCCAGCAGCAAGGAGAGAACAGGAAAAUAAAGUCCUUGUGUAAUUUUAACGAUGGGAUGUCCCGUGUCUGUCUGCACAUGUCUGCAGUCUGUAGGUCAGAGCAUUGUUACCCAGACCUGUUUUCCACGGGUUUAUCUCAGGUCACUCUGUUUUGGAGGUUAUUAUGACAUUCUCUCUCUGUUUUAAGGUGUUUUCUCUCGGCUCGUCACAUUCCAUCUGCGUGGAUGUUCAGAAGAGACCAAACAUUCAGGAGCAGUAACACAAGGUUAGCGAGGGUCACCGCUGUUCUUACACAACAUGAAGUUCACUGACCCUGUGAGUAUCUGUGCAGCAAAACACAAGGUUGAAAACAGAGAAUAACACCGCCGCUGCAGCGGGGAAAUCCUUCAUGAAAAACAAUCCGGAUCCAGGAGUCUGUGUUCUUGGCUCUGGUCGGAGUCCUCGAAGAAGCUCAGAAGUGUUUCUGAAAUUCUUGGAAGAAUGUCUCAGCUCCGGACAAUCGUAGCACAUCUGAGAGCUUUAAUCCUUGCAUCUGGGUUAGAUUAGACGGAGAAUUCGGUGAAUCAGGUUGAAUCAUGUGUGCUCUCCUCUGCGGCUGACAUUGUGAUGGUUUUUGAAGACCUCAUGUGGAGAUGUGAACCUGUAACUGCCAAGAUUUUACAGAGGAGAACAUAACAAUAAAGGAGUGG